rnacentral:rRNA from 1 species
GGGAAUUCGAUUAGUUUGAUCAUGGCUCAGAGCGAACGCUGGCGGCAGGCUUAAUACAUGCAAGUCGAGCGCCCGUAGCAAUACGGGAGCGGCAGACGGGUGAGUAACACGUGGGAACAUGCCCUUCGGUUCGGAAUAACUCAGGGAAACUUGAGCUAAUACCGGAUACGCCCUUACGGGGAAAGAUUUAUCGCCGAAGGAUUGGCCCGCGUCCGAUUAGCUAGUUGGUGAGGUAAUGGCUCACCAAGGCGACGAUCGGUAGCUGGUCUGAGAGGAUGAUCAGCCACACUGGGACUGAGACACGGCCCAGACUCCUACGGGAGGCAGCAGUAGGGAAUAUUGGACAAUGGGGGAAACCCUGAUCCAGCCAUGCCGCGUGGGUGAUGAAGGCCCUAGGGUUGUAAAGCCCUUUCGGCGGGGAAGAUAAUGACGGUACCCGCAGAAGAAGCCCCGGCUAACUUCGUGCCAGCAGCCGCGGUAAUACGAAGGGGGCUAGCGUUGCUCGGAAUCACUGGGCGUAAAGCGCACGUAGGCGGAUCUUUAAGUCAGGGGUGAAAUCCCGGAGCUCAACUCCGGAACUGCCUUUGAUACUGAGGAUCUUGAGUCCGGGAGAGGUGAGUGGAACUGCGAGUGUAGAGGUGAAAUUCGUAGAUAUUCGCAAGAAC